rnacentral:rRNA from 1 species
CCUACGGGAGGCAGCAGUAGGGAAUAUUGCUCAAUGGGGGAAACCCUGAAGCAGCAACGCCGCGUGGAGGAUGAAGGUUUUCGGAUUGUAAACUCCUUUUGUUAGAGAAGAUAAUGACGGUAUCUAACGAAUAAGCACCGGCUAACUCCGUGCCAGCAGCCGCGGUAAUACGGAGGGUGCAAGCGUUACUCGGAAUCACUGGGCGUAAAGAGAGCGUAGGCGGGAUAGCAAGUCAGAUGUGAAAUCCUAUGGCUUAACCAUAGAACUGCAUUUGAAACUGUUAUUCUAGAGUAUGGGAGAGGUAGGUGGAAUGCUUGGUGUAGGGGUAAAAUCCGUAGAGAUCAAGAGGAAUACUCAUUGCGAAGGCGACCUGCUAGAACAUAACUGACGCUGAUGCGCGAAAGCGUGGGGAGCAAACAGGAUUAGAUACCCCGGUAGUC